CCUACGGGAGGCAGCAGUGAGGAAUAUUGGUCAAUGGACGAGAGUCUGAACCAGCCAAGUAGCGUGAAGGAUGACUGCCCUAUGGGUUGUAAACUUCUUUUAUAUGGGAAUAAAACGUUCCACGUGUGGGAUUUUGUAUGUACCAUAUGAAUAAGGAUCGGCUAACUCCGUGCCAGCCGCCGCGGUAAUACGGAGGAUCCGAGCGUUAUCCGGAUUUAUUGGGUUUAAAGGGAGCGUAGGUGGAUUGUUAAGUCAGUUGUGAAAGUUUGCGGCUCAACCGUAAAAUUGCAAUUGAUACUGGCAGUCUGGAGUACAGUUGAGGUAGGCGGAAUUCGUGGUGUAGCGGUGAAAUGCUUAGAUAUCACGAAGAACCCCGAUUGCGAAGGCAGCUUACUAAACUGUGACUGACAUUGAUGCUCGAAAGUGUGGGUAUCAAACAGGAUUAGAUACCCUAGUAGUC
rnacentral:rRNA from 1 species